UGAUCAGUCACAACAAUCUAAUACCAAAUACAUAUUUGUAUUUGCUAAUACUUAUGACACACAUGUGAUAUCAAAAUACACCAUAGAAUCAUAUGUGUGUCACCCAGAAUCACGGUGGUAUCACGUAAGCAUCGUGAUACAACAUUGAUUUCUGUACAAUGGUAUCCGACCGUUGUACCAACGACACGACCAGCAACUACAUGAAAUUUUGUGAAGAAAAAGUGUCCGAGUAAUUUGCGGCCUGUCACUCGCACAUUGACUAAUCCCUCGGUAUUGAUUAAAAGUUUAUUUCUCGAGCAACACUGGUUUGUUUCCUUCGAUACCAUUGUACAAAAAUAAACAAACAAAUGAAAAAAUUUGCAGAGGCUGUUCUUCGAAACGACUGAGAUGAGUAUUAUUCGUACAAUUUCUUAUUGCGCUAGUUUUUUUUCCACUGCUAGUAAUUCUAUUGAUGAUCGCGAUUUUUUCAUUACUGAGAGUGUCAUUUCGCUGGUCGACUUCACUGAGUGCUACGUAGGAUCCGGUAUACAGUAUUCAAUUCCGGUAUUUCUGGUGCGACGAGCAAGGCGAACCUGCAGCAGCAUGAUCGGUUGUGGUAUCAUAAACAAAACACGCCGACCGUUUAUGAGAUAUCUUUUACUGGACCGUGACUUAUCUGGUGCUGGUGAUAAUCGAUCUGAUAAAGUAGGAAGUCAAAUGGGCGCGAUAGAACGCUGAAACCACCUUACCAAGGAGAUCGAACAUUGAAGAAAUCGAUUAUUGAAUUUAUUUUGUCAAAUAUGAAACUGAGACAAUCUAUACGCGUCUUAGCGGCGGUCUUAGCGGAAUGAACGUACUUUACAGUUUUUUUGCCAUUUAAUUCCACUAUGUUUUGAACAAAAACAUAGUGGAAUUAAAUGGUAGAAAAACAUAUGUAAAGUAUGAAACUGAGAGAUAUGUGCACAUAAUUUUGAAUUUUAUUUGGAUUUGGAAUCAAUCCUACUGAGGUUCUAACAUAUCCAGUGGUCACUGUAAAAAGUCACAUUACAAUAUCGUGCACAUGACGGUGUUGAAGUACUACGUUGGUAAUCCUGACGAGCAUGCGUAUGAUAGAGAAAAUCCUAGGCACGAGAUAUGCAUCAAAAGUCGGUGAUUCCGCUGAGUAUCCUGAUGAAAUGGAUGAUGAAUAAACAACCAAAAUUUGUUCAAAUUCAUAUCGCACCGAAGAAUUCGGCAACAUUAAGGUUGCACAGAGAAUGCGCAAAGUUCGCAAACGAAAAAAGCAGUUUUUUACACACCGUAUGUCACAUCUUCAUAAAAAUCAAUCAGCGUAUGUAGAAUGUUGUUACAGUACUGCUGAUUGAUUUUUAUGAAGAUCUGACAUACGGUGUGGAAAAAAACUGCUUUUUUCGUUUGCGAAUUUUGCGCGUUCUCUGUGCAACCUUAAGAAAAUUAAUGUUCUCCAAAUUUUUUUUUGUAUUACAAAUAACUUAUCUAUUCCUACUAUUCACAACGAAGUCGAUUAACUUUUCACGUGGACAUCGAACUGGAAAAGUUCCAUCCCGUAUCAGUCACCAGUGAGAAACCGGCCAUUGAGAGAAAAAAUAUCCAAAAAGUAUCUUAAACGUGCGAAGAAAAUAUAGUACUAUAAUAUGAUCAAAUGACUAACGUGUACGUAAAACUUAACGAAGCAGAUCUGAGGUUAAUAGAAUAAUAAUUGGGUGGAGAGUUAACGCUGGAAAAUGUAUUUCAGUUUUCAUCGUUUGUUGAAUUGUAAAAAUCAAUGAGAGUUGACCAAUGAAGGUUUUGUACUGUGAACCUAGAUAUCACAUAGUAUUCCAACUCAAUAUUAGAGAUCCAAUCAGGAAAUGAAAUCAAAUAUUUGUAGAUAAAAAUAAACAAAUUGCAGCAUCAGAGAUUUUUCUCCCACAAGUUUAAGAGUAGUAUUUACGAAAAAUAAUAUUUCAAAGAAUCGGAGGUUCCAGCCAGUUUAUUUUUCAACAAUAUUUUCCCAUGCGUACAGUUAUUAGAAAAAUAUAUCAACAGAUUCAUAAGUGCUGCUAGUUUGGUGCAUUUUUCAAGUAAACAUCAAAUUUGACAUUUCCAGUUACCUGAGUCACUGAGGGGUAGUCAUAUUUGCGAUACAGUUUCAAAAUGCGAGUGUCUAGUCGUGUCGUUGGUUGUACUGCCUCAAAAUACAACCAAUUCAAGUGCUACCAGCGCUAUUUCCAGGCAGUGGUGAACUCCAGAGCUUUUACCUUCCAUUACUUUGACGUUUGAAUAGUAAGCUAUGACCAAAUACAAAUAUGUAUUUGGUAUCACUGUGGAGGCAUGUCAGCAUAUCCAAUUUAAAAAAAGCUUCAAACACUUCAGAAUAGAUGCCUUAAAAUUAUAUUCAAGAAAUCAAUCAUGUAUCCAACUAUCCUGCUUUAUACUAAUAAUUCUCAUAACAUAUUGCCCUUGCUUGGAUCGACUGAAUUACAAACAAUAUUGUAUGUUUUUAAUGCUCAGUACAACCCACUAGCACAUAAUAACAUACGGUUUACUACAGGCAUUCGUAUGUAUACCACUAGGCAAGCCAAUAAUUUACAAUGCACCAGGGCUUCCAGCAACCUUGGUCAGAAACGCAUUUUGAAACAAGCUUAAAACGUUAUUUGAAAAAUAAAAUUAGUGUGUUUUAAUAUGAACUUAA